CGUGUAGGCGGCCAGAUAAGUCAGAGGUGAAAGCCCGGGGCUCAACCCCGGAAGUGCCUUUGAAACUGCUUGGCUUGAGUGCGGGAGAGGAAAGCGGAAUUCCCAGUGUAGAGGUGAAAUUCGUAGAUAUUGGGAGGAACACCGGUGGCGAAGGCGGCUUUCUGGACCGACACUGACGCUGAGGCGCGAAAGCGUGGGGAGCAAACA
rnacentral:rRNA from 1 species